rnacentral:rRNA from 1 species
AUGACUUUAAAUAGUAUUGAACCCACUAUCUCGGAUUUCAAGGAAUUUGAUUAUGAUAAUUGUUCUUUAGAAGGUUGUAUUUCCUUGUUGCAAUCCGUUGUUAAUUCUCCUCAUGCUUAUAGUCAAAAUAAAGCUUUUACCAAACACAUUGUUGAUGCCUUGAUGCAAUCUUAUGAUGAAAAACUUAAUUUGGAAGUUUCUAUACCUAGAAAACUUAAUGAUGAGUGGGAACCUACUAUAAAGAUUAGAAUUAAAGAUCAUGAGUGUUUUGCUUUGUGUGAUUUGGUUGCAAGUGUUUCCACGAUUCUGAAAACUUUAUGUGACAUUCUAGGUUUCCAUGAUCUUGAUGAUUGCUCUUUAAAUUUGCACUUUGUGGAUCUACCAUUAAAAAGCCAAUGGGAAGGAGCAAUGAUGUUCUCAUUGUUGCAAAUGGAAAUUUGGUGCCCGUAG